GUGCCAGCAGCCGCGGUAAGACAGAGGCCUCGAGCGUUAGGCGGAAUCACUGGGCUUAAAGCGUGUGUAGGCGGAUCGUUAAGUGUCUUGUGAAAUCCCACGGCUCAACCGUGGAACGGCUGGGCAUACUGGCGAUCUUGAGCAGCCUAGGGGCGACCGGAACAAACGGUGGAGCGGUGAAAUGCGUAGAUAUCGUUUGGAACGCCGAUGGUGAAAACAGGUCGCUGGGGGCUCGCUGACGCUGAGACACGAAAGCCAGGGGAGCAAACGGGAUUAGAUACCCCGGUAGUCC
rnacentral:rRNA from 1 species